UUGCAUUUCUCUCAAUAUGAUGAACACGAGUGCAUUUGGCUCGAGACGUUUUUGUCGAUGUGGAAAAAACCAAGCUACCUUACUAUUUUUUGUCUGAUU
rnacentral:snoRNA from 1 species